rnacentral:rRNA from 1 species
ACGGCUCAGUAACACGUAGUUAAUCUAACCUAUGGACGGGGAUAACCUCGGGAAACUGAGAAUAAUCCCCGAUAGAUCACAGUGCCUGGAAUGGCCUGUGGUUCAAAUGAUUUAUCGCCGUAGGAUGGGACUGCGGCCUAUCAGCUAGUUGGUGAGGUAAUGGCCCACCAAGGCUAUAACAGGUACGGGCUCUGAGAGGAGGGGCCCGGAGAUGGGUACUGAGACACGGACCCAGGCCCUAUGGGGCGCAGCAGGCGAGAAACCUUUGCAAUGUGCGAAAGCACGACAAGGUUAAUCCGAGUGUCUCCUGCUAAAGGAGUCUUUUGCCGGUCAUAGAACCACCGGUGAAUAAGGGGUGGGCAAGUUCUGGUGUCAGCCGCCGCGGUAAAACCAGCACCUCGAGUGGUCAGGAGGUUUAUUGGGCCUAAAGCAUCCGUAGCCGGCUGCUCAAGUUUUCGGUUAAAUCUAUGCGCUUAACGUAUAGGCCGCCGAAAAUACUGGGCAGCUAGGGAGUGGGAGAGGUACACGGUACUCAAUAGGAAGGGGUAAAAUCCUUUGAUCUAUUGAUGACCACCUGUGGCGAAGGCGGUGUACCAGAACACGUUCGACGGUGAGGGAUGAAAGCUGGGGGAGCAAACCGGAUUAGAUACCCGGGUAGUCCCAGCUGUAAACGAUGCAGACUCGGUGAUGCCUUGGCUUGUGGCCAAUGCAGUGCCGCAGGGAAGCCGUUAAGUCUGCCGCCUGGGAAGUACGUACGCAAGUAUGAAACUUAAAGGAAUUGGCGGGGGAGA